rnacentral:rRNA from 1 species
AAUGAACGCUGGCGGCGUGCUUAACACAUGCAAGUCGUGCGCGAAGGUGGCUUCGGCUGCCGGAGAGCGGCGAACGGGUGAGUAACACGUGGGUGAUCUGCCUGGGGGCGGGGGAGUAACCUGGGGAAACGUCGGGCGUAAUACCGCAUACGUUGGCGGGUUUACGGACUCGUCAAGAAAGCUGGCCUCUGCUUGCAAGCUAGCGCUCCCAGAGGAGCCCGCGGCUGA